rfam:Kwoniella mangroviensis CBS 10435 unplaced genomic scaffold supercont2.1, whole genome shotgun sequence.
AUCUACGGCCAUAGAAGGUAAAAAACAUCGCAUCCCGUCCGUUCUGCGCAAUUAAGUUACCUAUCGCUCGGUUAGUACCAAGGUGGGAGACCACUUGGGAAUCCCGGGUGCUGUAGUUC